GCCUCAGUGGCCUAGUUGGUUAAGGCGUCGCCUUGGUAAGGCGGAGAUCGCGGGUUCAAAUCCCGCCUGAGGCUCCA
rnacentral:tRNA from 1 species